UACGGAGGGUGCGAGCGUUGUUCGGAAUCACUGGGCGUAAAGCGCGUGUAGGCGGCCCACUAAGUCUGAUGUGAAAGCCCGGGGCUCACCCCCGGAAGUGCAUUGGAAACUGGUGGACUCGAGUCCCGGAGAGGAGAGUGGAAUUCCGGGUGUAGCGGUGGAAUGCGUAGAGAUCCGGAAGAACACCGGUGGCGAAGGCGGCCUGCUGGGACGUGGCUGACGCUGAGGCGCGACAGCGUGGGGAGCAAACAGG
rnacentral:rRNA from 1 species